rnacentral:rRNA from 1 species
UACAGAGGUCCCAAGCGUUGUUCGGAUUCACUGGGCGUAAAGGGUGCGUAGGCGGUCGGGUAAGUCUGAUGUGAAAUCUCACAGCUUAACUGUGAAACUGCAUUGGAUACUAUCCGGCUCGAGGAAUGGAGGGGAGACUGGAAUACUUGGUGUAGCAGUGAAAUGCGUAGAUAUCAAGUGGAACACCAGUGGCGAAGGCGGCUCACUGGCCCGGUACUGACGCUGAGGCGCGAAAGCGUGGGGAGCAAACAGG